CACAUGAAAAAUUUGCCAAAUUUUCUCCGCCAAAAAGCUUAUUUUAAUGUUUUUAUUGACACUUGUUUUGAGCUCCUGGUACACCCUGGUGCCCCACAUAAGAUUUAUUGUGAAACUACAGGGGUUAGACGAUGAAACUGAAACACCUGGUUUUAGUCCAUAACAUCUCUUUCAGACAGCUUUUACAGUAUCUGUUUUAUUGUUUUAUUUAUGAAAUAUGUCUGUUACGUUUAGUUCGAUCUCUACGAUUUCAGUGCAUCGCUGAAUGCAAAAGAAAAAAGAAAGAUUAAUGCUUUAUUUUGUUUAUUCUUGGGAUUUUUCUCCCUACCUAACAACUUUUUGUAUGAUCAAGGAAAUGUGGCACUAAUGAGUGAUCUGACAGCUACAGGCUGUUUAACAGUGGCUGUAAAACAAGCUGACAAGUGAGACAGGUAUUCUGUUUUCAGAACACACAUUAUAAGCAUUAUAAAGGAAGAGUUUUAGUGUUAAAAUGUAGUUUAUACUGAGGCUGACUUCUCUGUGAAAAGAUAGAACGGAUUUGAAAAGGAGGCGUUCUCUGUGGUUUCUCCUGCUCAGAGGAAAGUGAGGGCUGUUUGAUGCAGCGUCUCUUUUCUUCUCUGACAAGUUACUGACUUUAGCAGCGUAUUUUGGCGCUCUCAAAUUACAGCCAGCUUUUUUUAGUUGAAGGGUGGAACAAUUACAAACAUUGCUCCUUAUUCAGUUCACUUCCACAUCACACGAGGAGGAUGUCUUUAAUGGUCACGUCGCUCACUGUGAAUCAGAUUUCCUCUGAAGCACUCAGAACCACGAUGCUCUGAAACAUUAACUAAAGCUCUCAGCUGCAGCCGACCCUCACAGCAGUAGCUUUAUUUCCUUUACAUGUGUACUAGGUGACUCUUGAGGAAAGGCCUUUGAUUGAAUAUGGCUCCACCUUUCCUUCCUACAGGACGGAUCAGUGGGAAGGAAUGGCGGUAGCCUGAGACUGUUGACGGAGGCCAGACCGAGCUGGCUGAGGUCAUAUUUCUGGAAGGAAAAUAAAUACCGUACAGUCCCCGUCCUCCUGCCAAGAGCUGUUUAACAAUCCAACCCUUCUGCUGCUCGGCUCUGCUCAGGACUCUGUUUGUACGGAGACAUUUUUCCUGCAAGGCUCCUAAGCUUAUCCAUAAUCGGGUCGCAGAGGCAGCAGCUCCAGAAGAGAAACCCAGACUUUUCCCGAGCGACACUUUCCAGCUCAUCCUGGGGGAUCUCAAGGUGUACCCAGGCCAGAGAAGAUGCUACAUAAAACCUUCCAGUGAGUCCUGGAUCUGCCAGGGACCUCCUACCAGUGGGGUGUGUCCGGAACACCUCUAAUGGGAGGCAUCCAGGAGGCAUCCUACUCAGAUGAACCACCUCAACUGACUCAUUUCGAUGCAGAGGAGUAGCGACUUCACUCUGAUCUCCCCCGGAUGACUGAGCUCCUCACCCUAUCCCUAAGUCUGAGCCCAGCCACCCUACAAAGGAAGCUCAUUUCAGCCGUUUGUAUCCAGGAUCUUGUUCUUUCAGUCAUGAUCCAACGCCUCAUGACCUCAGGUGAGGGUUGGAAAGUAGACAGACCAGUCAAGCGAGAGCUUUUCCUUUCGACUCGUUCUUCACUAUGACCGAAGCAACGCCCUCAUUACCGAGGAUGAGGCCCCGCUCCAUCCUCCCAUCAAUCCUGAACAAGACACCCGGAUACUUAAACUCCUCCACUUGGGGUAAAGACUCCCCCCGACCUGGUAAUUCCACCCAUGACCACACAUUUAGAGGAACUGAGGUCAGAUGACUGGGAUAAAAAGGGUGUUUGAGAAAAGAUUUGAACUUUUAAGCCACACAUUUAUCAAUAAUAAAACUGAAUUCAUCUUCAGAUAUGGGGCUUAAUUCUGCAGGAUGAUACCAGAGUCUUCACAGCAGCAUGACAUCCAGAACUGAAAGCAUUUGUUGUAACACAAAACAUAAAAAACAACGAGGCUUGGAAGGGUUAGGAAAAAAUAAAUCUAAAAUCAAGCAAGAAAAUUGAAAGCAAACAGGAAAAAAUAUAUUUUUUAUGUAAUUAAAUUGCAUUUCAGCAAACAGAAA